CCUACGGGAGGCAGCAGUGAGGAAUAUUGGUCAAUGGGCGCGAGCCUGAACCAGCCAAGUCGCGUGAGGGAAGACGGUCCUAUGGAUUGUAAACCUCUUUUGUCGGGGAGCAAAAGACGCCACGCGUGGCGUUCCGAGAGUACCCGAAGAAAAAGCAUCGGCUAACUCCGUGCCAGCAGCCGCGGUAAUACGGAGGAUGCGAGCGUUAUCCGGAUUUAUUGGGUUUAAAGGGAGCGUAGAUGGGUUGUUAAGUCAGUUGUGAAAGUUUGCGGCUCAACCGUAAAAUUGCAAUUGAUACUGGCAGCCGUGAGUACAGUUGAGGGAGGCGGAAGUCGUGGUGUAGCAGUGAAAUGCGUAGAUAUCGAGAGGAACACUCGUGGCGAAGGCGGGUUCCUGGACAUUAACUGACGCUGAGGCACGAAGGCCAGGGGAGCGAAAGGGAUUAGAUACCCGAGUAGUC
rnacentral:rRNA from 1 species